rnacentral:rRNA from 1 species
ACUCCUACGGGAGGCAGCAGUGGGGAAUAUUGCACAAUGGGGGAAACCCUGAUGCAGCCAUGCCGCGUGUGUGAAGAAGGCCUUCGGGUUGUAAAGCACUUUCAGUAGGGAGGAAGGUAGUGCAGUUAACACCUGCACUAUUUGACGUUACCUACAGAAGAAGCACCGGCUAACUCCGUGCUAGCAGCCGCGGUAAUACGGAGGGUGCGAGCGUUAAUCGGAAUUACUGGGCGUAAAGCGCAUGCAGGCGGCCUGUUAAGUCAGAUGUGAAAGCCCGGGGCUUAACCUCGGAAUUGCAUUUGAAACUGGCAGGCUAGAGUCUUGUAGAGGGGGGUAGAAUUUCAGGUGUAGCGGUGAAAUGCGUAGAGAUCUGAAGGAAUACCAGUGGCGAAGGCGGCCCCCUGGACAAGACUGACGCUCAGAUGCGAAAGCUGGGGAGCAAACAGGAUUAGAUACCCUGGUAGCACAGA